AAGUUCGAUUAUUUAUCUUUCCAUGCAAUCCUAUUAGCAUACAUCUAGACAGUUAUAUUCACAGUAUGGAAAAAUUAAAGUGCGAAAAAUAAGACUACGCUAUUACAUGGCUUCAGGAUGAGGGUACAUAAUUUAAAAGGGGAUAUAAAAUAUCUAAAUCUUAAUUAACGAGUACAAAAUUAAAAGGGUAUACAAAAUAAUAAAACCUAAUUAAACU
rnacentral:lncRNA from 1 species